AGGUUGGGGUGACAACAGGAGGCCGACAGUAAGACUGGAGGUGGCAGGGAGCUCACCCAGUGAGCAGGAAACGAUGGAGAGAAGAGAACUGAAGUCACAAGGCAAACCAUCACCCUUAAAUCUGGAGACAAGAGAAACACAACAGAAGUCUCACCUGAAACAGAAGCCACUGGAACCAUAAAUUGAUGAGGACACCACUAAAUGAACCCUACGAUGUUCUCAAGAAGACACACGCUAAAAAACAAACAAACAAAAAAAAUCCCUUCAUAACUCUGGCAGAAGAAAUGAAGAAAUAAUCAUUGUGAAAUACACUCAGGUCUGUUCUCCAAGGAAAAUCACUUUCCCCGACCUUUAUCCCAACUGGAGGAAGAAAACUGUUCCCAUUUCAACCCCUUCCAGCAUUCCUGUCACAACAAAAAAUGUGGAACCUACAGAAUGAGAGAAAAUUUCUGCAGUCUAUCCAUCUGACAAAGGUCUAAUAUUCAGCAUCUAUAAGGUACUUAAAUUUACAAGAAAAAAAAACAACUCCAUUAAAAAGUAGGUGAAGGACAUGAACCCUUUACAUGAACAGAUAUACCUGCAGCCAAUAAACAUGUGAAAAACAGCUCAACAUCACUGAUCAUUACAGAAAUGUAAAUCAAAACCACAAUGAGAUACCAUCUCACACCAGUCAGAAUGGCUAUUAGUAAAAUGUCAAAAAACAAUAGAUGCUGGUGAGGUUGUGAGAAAAAGGAAAACUCUUACACUGUUGGUGGGAGUACAAAUUAGUUCAAUUAAUCUGGAAGACAGUGUGGCAAUUCCUCAAAGACCUAGGGGCAGAAAUACUAUUCAACCCAGCAAUCCCAUUACUGGCUCUAUACACACAAGAAUAGAAAUUAUCCUAUUAUAAAGACAUGUGCAGACAUAUGUUCAUUGCAGCACUAUUCACAAUAAUAAAGACAUGAACUCAACCUAAGUGCUUAUCUUCAAGGAGAACUACAAACCACUGCUCAAAAAAAAAAUCACAGAUAACACAAGCAAAUGGAAAAACAUUAUUCCAUGCUCAUGGAUAGGGAGAAUUGAUAUCACGAAAAUGGCCAUACUCCCCAAAACAAUUUAUAGAUUCAUUCAAUGCUAUCCCCAUUAAACUACCACGACAUUUUUCACAGAAUUAUAAAAAACUGUCUUAAAAUUCAUGUGGAAACAAAAAAAGCCUGAAUAGCCAAGGCAAUCAUAAGCAAAAAGAACAAAGCUGGAAGCAUCACACUACGCAAUCUCAAACUGUACUAUAGGGCUAUAGUAACCAAAACAGGGCUACAGUAAUCUAGGGUAAUAGUGGAUCUUUUGAGCAGUGGCUUGUUGUUCUCCUUGAAGACAUCCCUCCUUCACUUUCUUUGUUACCUGUAUUCCUGGGCAUUUUUUUGCGGGGGCCAUUGUGAAUGGGAGUUCAUUUGUGAUUUGGCUGUCUGCUUGCCGAGAUGGAUGAACAGACACAUUGACCAAUGAAACAGAACAGAGAAUCCAGAAAUAAGACCACACACCUACAACCAUCUGAUCUUUAACAAGCCUGACAAAAACAAGCAAUGGGAAAAGGAUUCCCUAUUUAAUAAUUGGUGCUGGGAAAACUGGCUAGCCAUAUGUAGAAUAUUGAAACUGGACCCCUUCCUUACACCAUCAGCAAAAAUCAACUCAAGAUGGAUAAAAGACUUAAAUGUAAAACCCAAAACUAUACAAACCCUAGAAGAAAAUCUAGGCAAUACCAUUCAGAACAUAGGCACAGGUAAAGAUUUCAUUACAAAAACAUCAAAAGCAAUUGCAACAAAAGCAAAAAUUGACAAAUCGAAUCUAAUUAAACUAAAGAGCUUCUGCAUAGCAAAAUAAACUACCAACAGAGUGAAAAGACAACCAUCAAGAGUGGAUAAAGAAAAUGUGGUACAUAUAUACCAUGGAAUACUAUGCAGCCAUAAAAAGGAAUGAGAUCAUAUCUUUUGCAGGGACAUGGAUGGAGCUGGAGGACAUUAUGCUUAGCAAACUAACACAGGAACAGAAAACCAGAUACUGCAUGUUCUUACUUAUAAGUGGUAGCUAAAUUACGAAAACACAUGGACACAUUGUGGGGAACAACACAUACACUGGGACCUGUUAGAGGGCAGGGAGUGGGAAGAGUGAGAGAAUCAGGAAGAAGAGCUAAUGGAAGAUGGGCUUAAUACCUGGGUGACGGGAUGAUCUGUGCAGCAAACCACCAUGGCACACAUUUACCUAUGUAACAAACCUGCACAUCCUGCACAUGUACCCCUGAACUUAAAAGUUGG